UACCACAGCACCCACAACUACCACAACUACCACAGCACCCACAACUACCACAACUACCACAGCACCCACAACUACCACAGCACCCACAACUACCACAGCACCCACAACUACCACAGCACCCACAACUACCACAGCACCCACAACUACCACAGCACCCACAACUACCACAGCACCCACAACUACCACAGCACCCACAACUACCACAGCACCCACAACUACCACAGCACCCACAACUACCACAGCACCCACAACUACCACAGCACCCACAACUACCACAGCACCCACAACUACCACAGCACCCACAACUACCACAACUACCACAGCACCCACAACUACCACAGCACCCACAACUUUAAGUACACACCCAACCACCGAUCUCACAACCCAUAUUGUGGACGGUACAACAACGAGCAGUGGGCCUAGAUACGUUGUUGUACUGAGGAUAAAACUGUCCUCUCUGAUCCCACUAACAGAUGACUACAUCAGAAACGUGCUUUUACAGCAGCUCCGUGAGGAACUGAUCAGACAAGGGCUGCCAGGGGACUUUGCGCUACGCCUGAGAGCCACUCAUGGGAUCAGUUCCUGAGGGAGGAACAGGAAUUCAGAUCAACAUUCUUCACUCCUACUUGUCUUGUCUUCCUGGUUCUGAUUCUGCAAAAAGUUCUUCUGAAGAAGAAGUGGUUCCUUAUAAUGACAGAAUAUGGUUGAUUGGUACUAAUCUCUUGGGACAGACGCACGUAACAUAAAUGAUGAUUUUUGUUCUGGAUUGCCAGGAUUAGUUGAAUGGACUGACAGUGCUUCUGACUGGAUGUUAGUUGAAUGACUAACAUGACUGGGGUUCUUUACUGUUUGGUAAUGUACAGAGGUAGACUGAGGGUCUUUCCUGUUUGGUAAUGUACAGAGGUAGACUGGGGGUCUUUCCUGUUUGGUAAUGUACAGAGGUAGACUGGGGGUCUUUCCUGUUUGGUAAUGUACAGAGGUAGACUGGGGUUCUUUCCUGUUUGGUAAUGUACAGAGGUAGACUGGGGUUCUUUCCUGUUUGGUAAUGUACAGAGGUAGACUGGGGUUCUUUCCUGUUUGGUAAUGUACAGAGGUAGACUGGGGUUCUUUCCUGUUUGGUAAUGUACAGAGGUAGACUGGGGGUCUUUCCUGUUUGGUAAUGUACAGAGGUAGACUGAGGUUCUUUCCUGUUUGGUAAUGUACAGAGGUAGACUGGGGUUCUUUCCUGUUUGGUAAUGUAGAGAGGUAGACUGGGGUUCUUUCCUGUUUGGUAAUGUAGAGAGGUAGACUGGGGUUCUUUCCUGUUUGAUAAUGUACAGAGGUAGACUGAGGUUCUUUCCUGUUUGGUAAUGUACAGAGGUAGACUGAGGUUCUUUCCUGUUUGGUAAUGUACAGAGGUAGACUGAGGGUCUUUCCUGUUUGGUAAUGUAGAGAGGUAGACUGAGGGUCUUUCCUGUUUGGUAAUGUACAGAGGUAGACUGAGGGUCUUUCCUGUUUGGUAAUGUAGAGAGGUAGACUGAGGGUCUUUCCUGUUUGGUAAUGUACAGAGGUAGACUGGGGUUCUUUCCUGUUUGGUAAUGUACAGAGGUAGACUGGGGUUCUUUCCUGUUUGGUAAUGUACAGAGGUAGACUGAGGGUCUUUCCUGUUUGGUAAUGUACAGAGGUAGACUGGGGUUCUUUCCUGUUUGGUAAUGUACAGAGGUAGACUGAGGUUCUUUCCUGUUUGGUAAUGUACAGAGGUAGACUGGGGUUCUUUCCUGUUUGGUAAUGUACAGAGGUAGACUGGGGUUCUUUCCUGUUUGGUAAUGUACAGAGGUAGACUGGGGUUCUUUCCUGUUUGGUAAUGUACAGAGGUAGACUGGGGUUCUUUCCUGUUUGGUAAUGUACAGAGGUAGACUGGGGUUCUUUCCUGUUUGGUAAUGUACAGAGGUAGACUGGGGUUCUUUCCUGUUUGGUAAUGUACAGAGGUAGACUGGGGUUCUUUCCUGUUUGGUAAUGUACAGAGGUAGACUGAGGUUCUUUCCUGUUUGGUAAUGUACAGAGGUAGACUGAGGUUCUUUCCUGUUUGGUAAUGUACAGAGGUAGACUGGGGUUCUUUCCUGUUUGGUAAUGUACAGAGGUAGACUGGGGUUAUUUACUGUUUGGUAAUGUACAGAGGUAGACUGAGGUUCUUUACUGUUUGGUAAUGUACAGAGGUAGACUGGGGUUCUUUCCUGUUUGGUAAUGUACAGAGGUAGACUGGGGUUCUUUCCUGGUUGGUAAUGUACAGAGGUAGACUGGGGUUCUUUCCUGUUUGGUAAUGUACAGAGGUAGACUGGGGUUCUUUCCUGUUUGGUAAUGUACAGAGGUAGACUGGGGUUCUUUCCUGUUUGGUAAUGUACAGAGGUAGACUGAGGUUCUUUCCUGUUUGGUAAUGUACAGAGGUAGACUGGGGUUCUUUCCUGUUUGGUAAUGUACAGAGGUAGACUGAGGUUCUUUCCUGUUUGGUAAUGUACAGAGGUAGACUGAGGUUCUUUCCUGUUUGGUAAUGUACAGAGGUAGACUGAGGUUCUUUCCUGUUUGGUAAUGUACAGAGGUAGACUGAGGGUCUUUCCUGUUUGGUAAUGUACAGAGGUAGACUGGGGUUCUUUCCUGUUUGGUAAUGUACAGAGGUAGACUGAGGUUCUUUCCUGUUUGGUAAUGUACAGAGGUAGACUGAGGUUCUUUCCUGUUUGGUAAUGUACAGAGGUAGACUGGGGUUCUUUCCUGUUUGGUAAUGUACAGAGGUAGACUGAGGUUCUUUCCUGUGUCAAGAAUAGUUGGUUGAGGCUCCGUUUUCUGUGACAUUUUAGUGACAGAGGACACAGGUAGGUAGGACCCACUUGUAAACACCCACACACACACUCAGGAAGACGUUUCACUUUCACUCACACAUGGAGCAUAAAGAAGAAUGAACAAUGAGGUUGAAUUGACAUUGACGAAAGAGAAGAAAUGAAUUGACACUGACUAAAGAGAAGAAGAAAUGAAUUGACACUGACUAAAGAGAAGAAGAAAUGAAUUGACACUGACAAAAGAGAAGAAGAAAUUAAUUGGGAAUUGAUUGAAAUCCUAAUUAAAAGGUUAAACAUAUUAAAAGUUAAAAGGUUGAAAACAUUGGGAGAUAUUAAAGGUGAUAAAAUAAUGCAGGUGAGGAGAGUUAUAAUGUAGUUUUCUUUAAGUUGUGAAUCAUAUAGACUGCUUAGAGGACAAGGCCUUAGGAGGUUGAUAACGAGACGUUAUAAUGGUCAAAUGUUAUAAUGUUGAAAUGUUUAAAAUAUUGAAGUAUUAAAAUAUAACUGGAGUAAUAAAUUAGGUUGUAAUAAGAUUAGAAUUGAGUAAAGGUAGUUUGAAAAAUGUAUGUUAAGAAGUUGAUGUUAAUGAAGUAUAUUAAAAGGUGCUAGCUUGAUCUGGAAAUCCCUUCAUCUUACCUCAUUGAUUGAAGUGUUCUAGUACAUUCUAGGUGGAACCCUUAAUCUUACCUCAUUGGUAGAAGUGUUCUAGAACAUUCUAGGUGGAACCCUUAAUCUUACCUCAUUGGUAGAAGUGUUCUAGAACAUUCUAGGUGGAACCCUUAAUCUUACCUCAUUGGUAAAAGUGUUCUAGAACAUUCUAGAUGGAACCCUUAAUCUUACCUCAUUGGUAGAAGUCUUCUAGAACAUUCUAGGAGGAACCUUUAAUGUUACCUCAUUGGUAGAAGUGUUCUAGAACAUUCUAGGAGGAAUCCUUUAGGUUACCUCAUUGGUAGAAGUGUUCUAGAACAUUCUAGGAGGAACCCUUUAGGUUACCUCAUUGGUAGAAGUGUUCUAGAACAUUCUAGGAGGAAUCCUUAAGGUUACCUCAUUGGUAGAAGUGUUCUAGAACAUUCUAGGAGGAAUCCUUAAGGUUACCUCAUUGGUAGAAGUGUUCUAGAACAUUCUAGGAGGAAUCCUUAAGGUUACCUCAUUGGUAGAAGUGUUCUAGAACAUUCUAGGAGGAAUCCUUAAGGUUACCUCAUUGGUAGAAGUGUUCUAGAACAUUCUAGGAGGAAUCCUUAAGGUUACCUCAUUGGUAGAAGUGUUCUAGAACAUUCUAGGAGGAAUCCUUAAGGUUACCUCAUUGGUAGAAGUGUUCUAGAACAUUCUAGGAGGAAUCCUUAAGGUUACCUCAUUGGUAGAAGUGUUCUAGAACAUUCUAGGAGGAAUCCUUAAGGUUACCUCAUUGGUAGAAGUGUUCUAGAACAUUCUAGGAGGAAUCCUUUAGGUUACCUCAUUGGUAGAAGUGUUCUAGAACAUUCUAGGAGGAAUCCUUAAGGUUACCUCAUUGGUAGAAGUGUUCUAGUACAUUCUAGGAGGAAUCCUUAAGGUUACCU